AUUCAGUCUUGAUCAGGACAAAAUACAAAGGCAACACAGAAAAGUUCUAAACAAAACAAUUAUUGUAUAUAUUUCACAAAUAUAAUGAACAUAUGUGUACGGUAAGUGAUGGUUAUCAAACCAGUAUUAGUAUAUCCCAAUGGUCCAAUUGCUGUAAAUAUAUUUCCACUUGAACAAAAUUAGGAGAUUCUGUAAUCUUCAGCUGCUGGAGGUGUAUAAGAACUAGAUUAAAAACAUCUACCCUAAUAUUAGUGUGAUGGGAUUGUGUAGGUCAAAC